rnacentral:rRNA from 1 species
UGGGGAAUUUUCCGCAAUGGGCGCAAGCCUGACCGAGCGACGCCGCGUGCGCGAUGAAGGCCUUCGGGUUGUAAAGCGCUGUCGAGGGGGAGGAAAGCCCGUAAGGGUCUGACCUAUCCCUGGAGGAAGCACGGGCUAAGUUCGUGCCAGCAGCCGCGGUAAGACGAACCGUGCAAACGUUGUUCGGAAUCACUGGGCUUAAAGGGCGCGUAGGCGGCUUGCCAAGUCCGGGGUGAAAGCUUUCGGCUUAACCGGAAAAGUGCCUUGGAUACUGGCAGGCUGGAGGGAGGUAGGGGCAUGCGGAACUUCCGGUGGAGCGGUGAAAUGCGUUGAUAUCGGAAGGAACGCCGGUGGCGAAAGCGGCGUGCUGGACCUCUUCUGACGCUGAGGCGCGAAAGCUAGGGGAGCGAACGG